GUGCAGAUAAACUUUAUUUAAAAGCAUAAAGGCCUUUAUUUUUAUUUACAAGAUGAGUCAGGAUUAUGUUUCAUGAUUAUGAUUGUAAAAAGGUUAGAUUGAUUCAUUACCAAAGAUGAGGUCAUGAUAAACUAAAAGAUAACAGUGGAACAUCCCCAGAAACAGAUGAAGGACUGAAAACCUGGAACUGAGGCUCCAAGUGGGCAGAUAUCAGUCAGAGGGUAAAAAUGUGGAUUUUCAGCUCAGAAUCAGAGUCUGUGUUCAUGAACCAGCCUCUGUUUGCUGCAUGGAGCUGAAAUGACAGUAAAUCUCAGACUUCAUCUGACUCUGACUGACUUCCAGUCUGACUUUGGUGUUUUGUUCUUUACUAAGUCUGAGGAUAGAAAAUACUUGGAGUUCACCAGGAGACUGAAUGUUGAUGAAGACUUGAAGAUUUUCUGGCUCAUUUGAAGAAUGGACCAGGAGGAAUCUCAGUGGAUGAACUGAGUCAAUAAAUCAAACUGGACAAAAUCUGUCCAAGAGGAAGCAGAUGUUUGACAGCAGCAGCUGAUAGAAAACCUGUUUUAUUGGUAAAGAGCUGCACGACCUGAUGAAGGAAACAACUAAAGUCUGACAAAACUGAACAACAAGAUCUUCAUGUGUGGAACAAAGCAGAGUUCUGGGAGUCUGAUGGACUGAUGAGACUAAAGUGGACUGUUUGGGCAGAACAUCUGGAGGCAGAAGGACCAGAAGAACAGCAUCAACAGUCCUGUUGGUGGCUUUGAAGCUGCUAAACUGGAGCAUGUGAGCAGCAGCAUCUGAAAUAUGAUCCUGCAGUGACAGAAACAUCCUGAAACUUACUGCACACUCUGCAACCUGACAUCAACCUCCAACGUUUCAUGUCAACAUUAACUGCAGUUCUCCAUCAUUCACAGUGUGGAGCUGCAACACUAAACUACACAGUGAUAACAACACACUUUACACUGGUUCCCAGUCCACCUCCCAGUAACAUGGUCCAGUCAGAGUCUCUACACACCAGCUGCUGCUGCUGCUUCAACCUCUGGAUCAUCAGGACACACUUCAUCCUCUCAGCACAAACACCGUCCUGAUCAGCAUCACUUCCAUCUGCAGAGAGAAGAAGAAAGAACAGAGGAGAUCAAUGAGUUUGAUCAGCUGAUCAUCA
ensembl:lncRNA